rnacentral:pre_miRNA from 1 species
UUAACUCAAUUUUUUACGCAGUUGGAACGUAUGGUUACGUUUGUCAUUAGGGGCGCUGUUUCAACUGCAUACAAAUUUUACUUA